rnacentral:rRNA from 1 species
AGGGUUUGACAUGGCGGUGGUAGGAAAGUGAAAGCUAACCGACCCUUCGGGGAGCCGUCACAGGUGCUGCAUGGCUGUCGUCAGCUCGUGCCGUGAGGUGUUAGGUUAAGUCCUGUAACGAGCGCAACCCUCGUCGUUAGUUAUACGUGUCUAACGAGACUGCCGGUGAUAAGCCGGAGGAAGGUGGGGAUGACGUCAAGUCAGCAUGGCCUUUAUAUCCUGGGCUACACACACGCUACAAUGGCCGGUACAAUGGGUUGCCAAGCCGCGAGGCGGAGCCAAUCCUCCAAAGCCGGUCUCAGUUCGGAUUGUAGGCUGCAACUCGCCUGCAUGAAGU